GACAGCCCCGAGCACAGCUGUGUAUCACGACGCCGCGUGCCCUGCAGGCACACCUAGUCCGGUGAGGGAAAGGGAAAGGACAGCCCCCAGCAGCAAGUGCCACCAGUGGGACAGUUCACAGAGGCCCAUCACGUGUGAAAUACCAACAACAGCUACCAGCAAGCUCUUAACUGUCUCCACUGUGUAGCCUUGGAGAAGUUACUUAACUCUCACGGCCUCAGUUUCCUCCUCUGCGAAGAGGGUUGCUGUGAGGAUUCAAUAAGAAAAGUGCUUAGGGGAGGCCAGGAGCUGUAUAAACAGCGGAGGAGUAAACAGGACAAAGAGGGAACAACUGAUUUUGCCCAAGGACACCGACUGGUAAAGAGUAAACGGUGACACUGGCUUUUGAGCCCCAGCAGUCUAACCCAAAUCUGUGCUUUCAAGCCAGACUGAACCCAAAGGAUGAGAACUGGCCAGAAGGAGGUGUGUGGGUGGUCCCAGCUCUGCCAUUUACUGCCUGGGGGACUUCCAGCAAGUCCCUGGACCUCUGGGAGCCUCAGUGUCCUCAUCUGAAGAAAUGUGACAACUCUUGUCUUCUAAGGUGCUGACAAUAAUGGCCCGAAACUGGGUCACCCACAGGUCUGCUUUCUCCAACGUUCCAGGCCUUGUUCCCUUUGUCCUGCUGGCCGAGGCGGGGCUGGGUCUCUGAGAGGCUGCUGUCACAAGGAACAUUCCAGAUGCCAUUGGUCUCCUAUGGCUCCAGGACUGAUGCGGGAAGUUGGGUGCGACGCACGAAGAAGACCAGAUCGAGGGUUCGGGGCCCACCGACCUGUCACAGAUACUGCCUGGGCCCAAGGUUGAGACUGUAAGCCCUCUGAGGAUAAACAAAGCUGCUGUGAACAUUCGCUGAGGUGCCAGCGCAGGUCUGCCGGUGUCCUGAACAAUUCCAGCACUGCAUCUGAUCCUUACGACAUCAUUUUCCAGGAGGGGAAACUGAGUCUCAGAGAGACCAAGCACCAUGACCAAGGAACACAGGGCUCUCAGGUUUCCAUAUUAUGUUUUGAGGACCAGUCUUCCUCACCCGUAGAAGAGGAAACAGUCACUUGUUAUUGUGAAAGAAACAAGUGUUUGCAAAGAUCUUACCUCUGGACCUAGUUCAUGCUAAAUCUUCAACGAAAUAAAGAUGAAAGUAUAUCAGAUAGAAGUGUAACUCACUCAAGCCCCUACCCCAGUUGUAACACUCACACUCUUUCUGCCUCCCUAAGAGAACAGGGCAGACUGCAAGAGCCCUGCCCACUCCUCCCAGAGGCCAGGAGGGCACAGGGCAGCUGGCAGGUAAACCUUCACCCACAUGCCGGCCACCCUUUUCCUAGUAGCUCUGACUGCCACUGACUUUUCCACCAGGUGCUACCUAGCCCAGCUGUUGACCACAUGGACAUCUGGAUCCCAGGAAGGGAUCAGCCCCCACUCUCUCCCACAUUACUAAAGGAUUGAGACACGCCAAGGCACCUGCCCAAGGCCCGUGUGGCCAGGAUGGCUGCCCUCUGGAGUGGGAAGGAAGCU